rnacentral:rRNA from 1 species
UACGUAGGGUGCGAGCGUUAAUCGGAAUUACUGGGCGUAAAGCGUGCGCAGGCGGUUUGUUAAGUCCGCUGUGAAAGCCCCGGGCUCAACCUGGGAAUGGCGGUGGAAACUGGCGAGCUAGAGUGUGGCAGAGGGGGGUGGAAUUCCACGUGUAGCAGUGAAAUGCGUAGAGAUGUGGUGGAACACCGAUGGCGAAGGCAGCCCCCUGGGCUAACACUGACGCUCAGGCACGAAAGCGUGGGGAGCAAACAGG